rnacentral:rRNA from 1 species
AGAGUUUGAUCAUGGCUCAGAACGAACGCUGGCGGCGUGCUUAACACAUGCAAGUCGAACGAGAAAGUUUCCUUCGGGAAAUGAGUAGAGUGGCGCACGGGUGAGUAACGCGUAGGUAAUCUACCCUUAUGAUCGGGAUAACAUUGGGGAACUGGUGCUAAUACCGGAUACCCUUCCUGGCUGUGGGGUCAGGGAGGAAAGGUGGCCUCUUCAUGAAAGCUACCGCAUAGGGAUGAGCCUGCGUACCAUUAGCUAGUAGGCGGGGUAACGGCCCACCUAGGCGACGAUGGUUAGCGGGUCUGAGAGGAUGAUCCGCCACACUGGAACUGGAACACGGACCAGACUCCUACGGGAGGCAGCAGUGAGGAAUAUUGCGCAAUGGGGGAAACCCUGACGCAGCGACGCCGCGUGAGUGAGGAAGGUUUUCGGAUCGUAAAGCUCUGUCAGAAGGGAAGAAAUGCUGCAUGGUUAAUACCCCUGCAGUUUGACGGUACCUUCAGAGGAAGCACCGGCUAACUCCGUGCCAGCAGCCGCGGUAAUACGGAGGGUGCAAGCGUUGUUCGGAAUUACUGGGCGUAAAGGGCGCGCAGGCGGCCUGAUAAGUCAGAUGUGAAAGUCCACGGCUCAACCGUGGAAGUGCAUUUGAAACUGUCUUGCUUGAGUAUCGGAGGGGAGUGUGGAAUUCCCGGUGUAGAGGUGAAAUUCGUAGAGAUCGGGAGGAACACCGGUGGCGAAGGCGACACUCUGGACGAAUACUGACGCUGAGGCGCGAAAGCGUGGGGAGCAAACAGGAUUAGAUACCCUGGUAGUCCACGCCGUAAACGAUGUGAACUAGGGAUAGGGGGUGUUGAUCCCUUCUGUCCCGCAGCUAACGCAUUAAGUUCACCGCCUGGGGAGUACGGUCGCAAGAUUAAACUCAA